AGCUGGGUCUUGCGCAAUGGAAGGUUGCAAAUCCCGCCAGGUCCGGAAGGAAGCAACGGUAGCAACAUGAUUCUAUGUGCCGCAAGGGUGCCUAGCUAUC
rnacentral:SRP_RNA from 8 species